UCCCGGUUGCUCCGGGCAGUCUCGUGUGAAAAAUUCAACACACGACGAGGGUUGCGCUCGUUGCGGGACUUAACCCAGCACCUCACGGUACGAGCUGACGACAGCCAUGCAGCAUCUGUGACACCGCCCCGAAGGGAAGGUGACUUUCAUCACCGGUCAGUGCCAUGUCAAGCCCUGGUAAGGUUCUUCGCGUAGCUUCGAAUUAAACCGCACGCUCCGCUGCUUGUGCGGGCCCCCGUCAAUUCCUUUGAGUUUUAACCUUGCGGUCGUAGUCCCCAGGCGGAGUACUUAUCGCGUUAGCUGCGUUACUAAAGGAUUUAACUCCUCCAACAACUAGUCAUCAUCGUUUAGGGCGUGGACUAC
rnacentral:misc_RNA from 1 species